rnacentral:rRNA from 1 species
AUGAACGCUAGCGACAGGCCUAACACAUGCAAGUCGAGGGGCAGCACAAGGAGCAAUCUGAGGUGGCGACCGGCGCACGGGUGAGUAACACGUAUGCAACCUGCCUGUAAGCGGGGAAUAACCCGUUGAAAGACGGACUAAUACCGUAUAAUACUAAAUUACUGCAUGGUAAUUUAUUUAAACAUUUAUGGCUUACAGAUGGGCAUGCGCAUGAUUAGCUAGUUGGAGAGGUAACGGCUCCCCAAGGCAACGAUCAUUAGGGGUUCUGAGAGGAAGGUCCCCACACUGGUACUGAGACACGGACCAGACUCCUACGGGAGGCAGCAGUGAGGAAUAUUGGUCAAUGGACGAGAGUCUGAACCAGCCAAGUCGCGUGCAGGAAGAAUGUCCUAAUGGAUUGUAAACUGCUUUUGCAGGGGAAUAAAGUGCAUCACGUGUGAUGUUUUGUAUGUACUCUGCGAAUAAGGAUCGGCUAACUCCGUGCCAGCAGCGGC